rnacentral:lncRNA from 10 species
CUUUUAUUUUAUACAGAACAAAAGGAAUACUGAAUAUUUGGGAUAACUAUUUUUUCUGUUUAGAAACAAGCUACAAUGUUGUGGCGAGGUACUUUGAUAAACAGAUUCCUCAAUAAGAACUGUGAGUUCUGCCUCUUUCAUGAAAGGCAGGCAUGUUCCAUGAGGCUACCAGACCCAGCUACGUCUGGGAGAAUAUACAGGUGUUAAAUUAGCUAGAGGAAAUGUUCUCCAGGUCCUGAAGGCUGAUGCACCAUAUGAAAUAUUACAGCAUUUCUUAAACAACAAUAAAAAGCAAGUGAAGUAGGGGCAGGAAGAGAGAAAGAAAAAUAAAAAUGUCUAGGUAGUUCAACUCUAAAUUAUUUUCUAAUCAUUCAUAAGUUUCCAUAUACCAUGAGAGCAAAUCUCUGGAACUAUGGAUGAGCUUUAUUUAGUCUGCAUGCAAAAUUCUCCAGAUUCUGUCAGGAAUUAUCUAAACCAUUACUGAGAGCAAGUCUUUCUGUGCCACAGGCUCUGUGUUUUCAAGGUGGUGGUGCAUUCCAGUUUGAGGGCCCAAGCACUGAUCUACCAAUGAUCUUCACACCCUUAUCAUCACUAUACCAGCAUGAGAAGAAAAUUCGGGAUGGUCCAAAUGACAGACUCCAAAAUGAUUCUGGAUAUUAUGGGCUAAAUCUGUAACAAUAACACACAACAAACAGAGGACUGAAAAUAUAGCUAAUAAAGAACUAUACUUAUUAAUCCAAUCAUCUGCUGUGUCAAGACUGGGUUAGAAUAAGGAGUGGAUCUGAAAGGAAAAUGAAAAUACCCAGGACAUCAGAAAAUCAAGGGUGAGAAAGCACAAGAAGGCAGCUGCCUGCAAGAAGCCAGGAAGAGGUCCCCCAGCAGAAACCGAAUCUGCCAUCACCUUGAUCAUUGACAUCCCAGCUUCUAGAAUUUAAGAAAAUAAAUUUCUAACUUUGAAGCCACAGAUGGGGUUACACAUCACAAUUCUGGAAGCGGGGAUUGUGGGAUUUGUUCUGUUGGCCGAGCUGACUAACGCAGAACCAGAACAUUCCAACUCUAUAUUCCAAGGAAGGUAAAAAAAAAAAAAAAAAAAAAAAAAGUUGAGGAAAAUAAAAAGUACCCAAAAACUCUUAACUAAAAUUUGGAUUAGAAUAAAAUAUCCUCAAAUCAGAGGGACCUUCCUAGAAUAAGCAAUGCCGUGAGUUUUAAAGGAUGAAAAAGGGUUCAGUUAAGCAAAGAUGAAAAAGAAAGUCAAGCCAUGAAACAGUGGCGCAUGAAGAAGACAUACAGGUGAAAAGAUCAUAAUGGUGCAGAAAUGCAAGGAGUUGGAGAAGGAAAAGAUUUCAAACUAAAGGGGAGGUGGGAUGAGGUCAUUGGGGGCAGAUCAAAUGCCUACAAAUUAUUUCAAAAUUUGCAAUAUACAUAUCUAAUGAAAAUCCUCCUUUAAAAUUUGCUCCCUGUAUGUGCCUCAUCAGAAUUGCUUAUUUGGAACUAAGAGCGCUCAUUAGGAAAUACAGUAUUUCCACAUUGUUUCUAUUAUUUUAAAAGGAUAACAUGAGUUGACCUUUCUCCCAAUUUUUCUAUUCAUUUUAUGAGACAAACAAGUCUUGGCACAGAGGAAGGUGAGGUUCAGACUUUUUCUAUGCAGUUCUUUCAACAGACAUCAAAAACUCUCUCUAUAUUAAAACAUAUUAUAUAUAGGAGUGUAGGGAGGGUGCAAACCACAAUAUAAAAUAAAGCUCAAGUUAAUUUAUUCUUAGUCUGGAAAGUUGACCAAACUUCUGAUUCUGGAUUUUUUAUUUUCAAAAAAUACAGUCUGUGGCAAUGAUUUCCAAUAAUUGUGUUAUUUUAACACAUGAAAACAAAUAGACCACAAUGCUCUAUUAAGGAUCAAACAAACAAAAAAUGUCUCAUAUAUUUAUCUAGAGGAAUGGCUCCUUCUUCAAGCAAUAGGUGUGCUUAUUUUCUUGAUUAAAAAAAUAAAGUAAAAUAUUUAGCAGUAUUUUAUGUAUGCUAAGAAACGCAUUUGCACAUUUUGAGAUCUCUGCAUUUGAGAGGAUUUAAAAAUUAACGACUGGUCAGGCAGCAGUCAGGAUGCAGGUGUCAUUUCCUCAGAAAGCCUAAAAUUAGUCAUAGUUGUUCAUAUGGUCUUCAAAUCAAUUGAGUUAUGUGCAUUAUUAACACUACAUGUGUUAUGCUUUAUUGAUCCUUAAAAUAUCUUCAAAAAGAUGACCCUGAUUCAGCAUGGAAACAAAAAUGUAUAUGAACAUAAAAGUAUGGCAAAAAAGCAGAUUGAUAUUUGAUUAAAAUAAAUUCAUGGCAAGAUAGCAGAAAAGUUCCUUUGUAAUGGGUGAAUAAAAGUUUCAAAACAUGUAUUAACUAACCAAAUCAUUUAACUAUUAAUUUUCUGAUUUUAAAAUAAUUGCUGAUUUUAUAUGUCUAUUUUGGCAGCAUCAGAAUUGUAUUAUAAUAUAGACAUAUGGUUAGGGUCAUUUUCUGUGUUUUUUUUUUAAGAGCAAUUACGUAUAGUAAGAUCCAUUUUCUAAGUUUCAAACAUGGUCUCAGAACACUGUAACAUUGACAAUAUUUCUUGGGUUUGCAUGAAGAAACAAUGCAAGCGAUGAAAUGAUAGUUUAACCUGUGGAUCAUGUUGG